UCAGCUUUUUGWUUUUUUUCAGAGAAUAGAACAUUUUCAAUUUCUUUUAAUGGCACAAGAACGUUUGCGGUCACUGUGGGAACUACUGCUAGAGUAUUAGUUUCCUAUAGAUAUUGCUGUGAUGGUUGGACCUGCCCAAAUUGCACACUGCAUCUAUUCGAUGAGAAAAACAAUACAUUAAUCAAAACAAUUCAAGAAAUCUCUUGCAAACAAGAAACAUUUUCAUGGAUGGUGAAAAAACAGCAUAAGAUUGGGAAGCAUCCUUUGAAGAUUUCAUAUGAAUGGCCUUCCAAAUUGAAAAUCUCUAACUCCGUUGGAGCAAUG